AGAGUUUGAUCAGUGCUCAGGACGAACGCUGGCGGCGCGCCUAACACAUGCAAGUCGAACGGAGUUUCCCCUUCGGGGGGAGCUUAGUGGCGGACGGGUGAGUAACACGUGAGGAACCUGCCUUUGAGAGCGGGAUACCGUCUGGAAACGGACGUUAAUACCGCAUAAUGCGGCGAGGCCACAUGGCCAUGCUGCCAAAGAUUUAUCGCUCAAAGAUGGCCUCGCGCCUGAUUAGAUAGUUGGCGGGGUAACGGCCCACCAAGUCUGCGAUCAGUAGCCGGACUGAGAGGUCGAACGGCCACAUUGGGACUGAGAUACGGCCCAGACUCCUACGGGAGGCAGCAGUGGGGGAUAUUGCACAAUGGGCGAAAGCCUGAUGCAGCGACGCCGCGUGAGGGAAGACGGUUUUCGGAUUGUAAACCUCUGUCUUCGGGGACGAAACAAGACGGUACCCGAGGAGGAAGCCACGGCUAACUACGUG
rnacentral:rRNA from 1 species